AUUGAACGCUGGCGGCAGGCCUAACACAUGCAAGUCGAGCGGAUGAAGGGAGCUUGCUCCUGGAUUCAGCGGCGGACGGGUGAGUAAUGCCUAGGAAUCUGCCUGGUAGUGGGGGAUAACGUCCGGAAACGGGCGCUAAUACCGCAUACGUCCUGAGGGAGAAAGUGGGGGAUCUUCGGACCUCACGCUAUCAGAUGAGCCUAGGUCGGAUUAGCUAGUUGGUGGGGUAAAGGCCUACCAAGGCGACGAUCCGUAACUGGUCUGGGAGGAUGAUCAGUCACACUGGAACUGGGACACGGUCCAGACUCCUACGGGAGGCAGCAGUGGGGAAUAUUGGACAAUGGGCGAAAGCCUGAUCCAGCCUAGCCGCGUGUGUGAAGAAGGUCUUCGGAUUGUAAAGCACUUUAAGUUGGGAGGAAGGGCAGUAAGUUAAUACCUUGCUGUUUUGACGUUACCAACAGAAUAAGCACCGGCUAACUUCGUG
rnacentral:rRNA from 1 species